GAAUACCCGCGGCAAGGAAACCUCCUCCCUUCCAACCCGCGGGUCCAGAUCGGCAUCCUCCUCCCGCCGGUCUGACACAGGAAAAGGCCGGGACCUCCUCCCCCCGGCCUUUUUCCUU
rnacentral:sRNA from 1 species